GCCACCACAAGGGCUGCUCCACCUUCUCCUCUAUUUUCAAGCCAAACUCCCCCCUCCAACUUCGAUUUGGACGAAGAGAAGCAAAGAUGUCGACGGCGCGCCUCUUUUGGUGAAGAACGUGCAUAGUGGGUGUGGGGGUUUGCUGAACGUGGGUGGAAACGGUUGCCGCGACAUGGGCAGUUGCUGCAGCGCCGAAGAAACUGCUGCUAGGGUUCAGUUUUUUUUUUCUGCUGAAAUUGUUCAAUAGCUUGGGCUGUAAUUUGGACUAAUAGAUGGGCUUGUAACUUGGGCUACGUUUUAUUAAAUUUGUAAUUGUGUUUGGUUUUAGUUUC